AUUGAACGCUGGCGGCAUGCUUUACACAUGCAAGUCGAACGGCAGCACGGGGGCAACCCUGGUGGCGAGUGGCGAACGGGUGAGUAAUAUAUCGGAACGUACCCGGAAAUGGGGGAUAACGUAGCGAAAGUUACGCUAAUACCGCAUAUGCCCUAAGGGGGAAAGCGGGGGAUUCGCAAGAACCUCGCGUUUUCGGAGCGGCCGAUAUCGGAUUAGCUAGUAGGUGAGGUAAAGGCUCACCUAGGCGACGAUCCGUAGCUGGUCUGAGAGGACGACCAGCCACACUGGAACUGAGACACGGUCCAGACUCCUACGGGAGGCAGCAGUGGGGAAUUUUGGACAAUGGGCGCAAGCCUGAUCCAGCCAUGCCGCGUGAGUGAAGAAGGCCUUCGGGUUGUAAAGCGUCUUUCUAGCCGGAAGAAAACGACACGGGUUAAUAACCUAGUGUGGAUGACGGUACCGGAAGGAAGAAGACACCGGCUAACUACGUGCCAGCAGCCGCGGUAA
rnacentral:rRNA from 1 species